rnacentral:rRNA from 1 species
UACGUAGGGCGCAAGCGUUGUCCGGAAUUAUUGGGCGUAAAGAGCUCGUAGGCGGCUUGUCGCGUCGGUUGUGAAAGCCCGGGGCUUAACCCCGGGUCUGCAGUCGAUACGGGCAGGCUAGAGUUCGGUAGGGGAGAUCGGAAUUCCUGGUGUAGCGGUGAAAUGCGCAGAUAUCAGGAGGAACACCGGUGGCGAAGGCGGAUCUCUGGGCCGAUACUGACGCUGAGGAGCGAAAGCGUGGGGAG